rnacentral:rRNA from 1 species
UACGUAGGUGGCAAGCGUUGUCCGGAAUUAUUGGGCGUAAAGCGCGCGCAGGCGGUCCUUUAAGUCUGAUGUGAAAGCCCACGGCUCAACCGUGGAGGGUCAUUGGAAACUGGGGGACUUGAGUACAGAAGAGAAGAGUGGAAUUCCACGUGUAGCGGUGAAAUGCGUAGAGAUGUGGAGGAACACCAGUGGCGAAGGCGACUCUUUGGUCUGUAACUGACGCUGAGGCGCGAAAGCGUGAGGAGCAAACAGG